UACGAAGGGGGCGAGCGUUGUUCGGAAUUACUGGGCGUAAAGGGCGCGCAGGCGGCUCUGAAAGUCAGAUGUGAAAGCCCCGGGCUCAACCCGGGAAGUGCAUACGAAACUGGCGAGCUUGAGUAUGGAAGAGGGUCGCGGAAUUCCCGGUGUAGAGGUGAAAUUCGUAGAUAUCGGGAGGAACACCAGUGGCGAAGGCGGCGACCUGGGCCAAUACUGACGCUGAGGUGCGAAAGCGUGGGGAGCAAACAGG
rnacentral:rRNA from 1 species